AUUGAACGCUGGCGGCAUGCUUUACACAUGCAAGUCGGGCGGCAGCGCGGGCUUCGGCCUGGCGGCGAGUGGCGAACGGAUGGGUAAUUCAUCGGAACGUGCCCAGUAGUGGGGGGUAGCUCGGCGAAAGCCGGCUUAAUACCGCAUCCGACCUGAAGGUGAAACCGGGGGACUUUAGUGGCUCGCGGCAUUGGCACGGCCGAGUGCAGAUUACGUAGUGGGUUGGGUAAGGGCCGACCAAGGCGACGAUCUGUAGCAGGUGUGAGAGGUGGACCGGCCAAAUUGGGAUUGAGAAACGGCCCAGACUCCUACGGGAGGCAGCGGUGGGGAAUUUUGGACAAAGGGCGAAAUCUGGAUCAAGCAAGGCGGGGUGUUGGAUGAAGGCCUCCGGGUUGAAAAGCACUUUUGGCAGGAACGACAAGUGCCGUGCUAAUACCACGGUAAGAUGACGGUACCUGCAGAAUAAGCACCGGCUAACUACGUG
rnacentral:rRNA from 1 species